CUCUCAAACUCAUGUUGCACAAGAACACCACAACGUUCAUCUCCAAAUCAUACAACAUCCUGACUUGAAAAUAUAUUGCAGUUUUGUCAUCGUUGUUGGAUUAAAAUCCUGGAACCCCAUGGCUAACACCACUAUGGGAGACCACCAUUUCCAUAAGGAUUGCACUGGUUCAAGAUUUUGGCUUGUCAGCAUUUUUUCAGAGUGCAAUAUAGAGGUUCCUGCAAAGUGCAAUUUCCAGUACAAUCAUGGUGAAAACCUCAACUGCUUCAUUUAAAGUGCGUCCUUCACUAUGACCUCUACCAUCUAGAAGGACAAGAGCAGCAAUAUCAUCAGAGUGCCAUCAUCAUCAAGUUCCUCUCAGAGUCACAGAUAAUGCCGACUGGACAUAAAUUGCUUUCCUUGGCCAUUGCUGAGUCAAGAUCCUGAAAUUCUUCAUUUAAUACCAUUGUGGGAAAUUUUUCAUCAAAUGGAUUGCAUCAGUUCAAGAUAAAAGCAAACUUGGGAAACUAGACAGUAAGACCAUAAGAUGUAAGAGCAGAAGUAGGCCAUUCAGCCCAUUGAGUCUACUCCACCAUUCAAUGAAAUCACGGCUGAUCUGA